UACGGCCAUAUCACGAUGAAACACCUGUUCUCGUACAAUCCCAGAAGGUAAACAAUGUCAAGUCUUGUCAGUACCUAGAUGGGUGAGCGACUGAGAAUAAUAUGUGCUG